rnacentral:rRNA from 1 species
GACGAACGCUGGCGGCGUGCUUAACACAUGCAAGUCGAACGGAAAGGCCCUGCUUUUGUGGGGUGCUCGAGUGGCGAACGGGUGAGUAACACGUGAGUAACCUGCCCUUGACUUUGGUAUAACUUCAGGAAACUGGGGCUAAUACCGGAUAGGAUCUCCUGCUGCAUGGUGGGGGUUGGAAAGUUUCGGCGGUUGGGGAUGGACUCGCGGCUUAUCAGUUUGUUGGUGGGGUAGUGGCUUACCAAGGCUUUGACGGGUAGCCGGCCUGAGAGGGUGACCGGCCACAUUGGGACUGAGAUACGGCCCAGACUCCUACGGGAGGCAGCAGUGGGGAAUAUUGCACAAUGGGCGGAAGCCUGAUGCAGCAACGCCGCGUGCGGGAUGACGGCCUUCGGGUUGUAAACCGCUUUCGCCUGUGACGAAGCGUGAGUGACGGUAAUGGGUAAAGAAGCACCGGCUAACUACGUG